GAAGUGUAUAACGAGGAAAAGAGGUCUAACAUGGCGAAAAGAGUCAUGUUUAGUAGCCAAAGAUGACUUGCCUGAUCUUUUUCACCUCCAUGAUUCAAUUUGAAUUCCAUGGGUUUUGGAUUAUUAUGCAUUUUAAAAGCAUAAUAGUUCGAAAAUCAUGUUGAAUCUUGCGGGUUAGGUUUCAGGCAGUCUCUUUGGCUAUCUUGACAUGCUUUUUUCAUUCAUGUUAUACCUAUUUUUCUUUCUGUCUUC
rnacentral:pre_miRNA from 1 species